UUGAUUGAGUGUUUGCACUUAAUCAUGAGAGUGGCGCACGGGUGAGUAAUACGUGGGAACAUACCCUAAAGUGGGGGAUAACGCUUGGAAACGAGUGCUAAUACCGCAUAAACCAUGAGUGGGAAAGAUUUAUCGCUUUAGGAAUGGCCCGCGGCAGAUUAGGUAGUUGGUGGGGUAAAGGCCUACCAAGCCGACGAUCUGUAGCUGGUCUGAGAGGACGAUCAGCCACAUUGGGACUGAGACACGGCCCAGACUCCUACGGGAGGCAGCAGUGAGGAAUAUCGGGCAAUGGGGGCAACCCUGACCCAGCCAUGCCGCGUGAGUGAAGAAGGUUUUCGAAUUGUAAAGCUCUUUCGGAUGUGAAGAUGAUGACGGUAGCAUCUAAAGAAGCCCCGGCAAACUUCGUGCCAGCAGCCGCGGUAAUACGAAGGGGGCGAGCGUUGUUCGGAAUUACUGGGCGUAAAGGGUGUGUAGGUUGACGUGUAAGAUAGCGGUGAAAUCCCAGAGCUCAACUUUGGAAUUGCCAUUAUAACUAUGCGUCUAGAAUUAUAGAGAGGAUAGCGGAAUACCCAGUGUAGAGGUGAAAUUCGUAGAUAUUGGGUAGAACACCGGUGGCGAAGGCGGCUAUCUGGCUAUAUAUUGACACUGAGGCACGAAAGCAUGGGGAUCAAACA
rnacentral:rRNA from 1 species